GUAGUCCCAGCCGUAAACGAUGGGUGCUAGGUGUGGGGUCCUAUCGACGGAUUCCGUGCCGCAGCUAACGCAUUAAGCACCCCGCCUGGGGAGUACGGCCGCAAGGCUAAAACUCAAAGGAAUUGACGGGGACCCGCACAAGCGGCGGAGCAUGUGGCUUAAUUCGAGGCAACGCGAAGAACCUUACCUGGGCUUGACAUCAGGGGAAAAGCCGUAGAGAUACGGUGUCCGUAAGGGCCCCUGACAGGUGGUGCAUGGCUGUCGUCAGCUCGUGCCGUGAGGUGUUGGGUUAAGUCCCGCAACGAGCGCAACCCCCGUUUCUAGUUGCCAGCGAGUAAUGUCGGGGACUCUAGAGAGACUGCCGGCGCUGAGCCGGA
rnacentral:rRNA from 1 species